rnacentral:rRNA from 1 species
AUUGAACGCUGGCGGCAGGCCUAACACAUGCAAGUCGAGCGAGCGGCGGACGGGUGAGUAAUGUAUGGGAAUCUGCCCGAUAGAGGGGGAUAACUACUGGAAACGGUGGCUAAUACCGCAUACCAUCGGAUGUGCCCAUAUGGGAUUAGCUAGUAGGUGGGGUAAAGGCUCACCUAGGCGACGAUCCCUAGCUGGUCUGAGAGGAUGACCAGCCACACUGGAACGGAGACACGGCCCAGACUCCUACGGGAGGCAGCAGUGGGGAAUAUUGCACAAUGGGCGCAAGCCUGAUGCAGCCAUGCCGCGUGUAUGAAGAAGGCCUGAGGGUUGUAAAGUACUUUCAGCGGGGAGGCGUUACCCGCAGAAGAAGCACCGGCUAACUCCGUGCCAGCAGCCGCGGUAAUUC